UACAGAGGGGCGAGCGUUGUUCGGAAUUACUGGGCGUAAAGGCGCGUAGGCGGCCGCUAAGUCGAACGUGAAUCCCCAGGCUCAACCUGGGAACUGCGUCCGAUACUGGCAGGCUUGAAUCCGGGAGAGGGAUGUGGAAUUCCAGGUGUAGCGGUGAAAUGCGUAGAUAUCUGGAGGAACACCGGUGGCGAAGGCGGCAUCCUGGACCGGUAUUGACGCUGAGGCGCGAAAGCUAGGGAGCAAACGGG
rnacentral:rRNA from 1 species